rnacentral:rRNA from 1 species
CCUACGGGAGGCUGCAGUGGGGGAUAUUGCACAAUGGGGGAAACCCUGAUGCAGCGACGCCGCGUGGGUGAAGAAGCGCCUCGGCGCGUAAAGCCCUGUCAGCAGGGACGAAAAUGACGGUACCUGAAGACGAAGCCCCGGCUAACUACGUGCCAGCAGCCGCGGUAAUACGUAGGGGGCAAGCGUUAUCCGGAUUUACUGGGUGUAACGGGAGCGCAGACGGCGAUGCAAGCCAGGAGUGAAAGCCCGGGGCCCAACCCCGGGACUGCGCUUGGAACUGCGUGGCUGGAGUGCAGGAGAGGCAGGCGGAAUUCCUGGUGUAGCGGUGAAAGGCGUAGAUAUCAGGAGGAACACCGGUGGCGAAGGCGGCCAGCUGGACUGCAACUGACGUUGAGGCCCGAAAGCGUGGGGAGCAAACAGGAUUAGAGACCCCUGUAGUC